CAGUUUCUCCGCACGAUAAUCGAGAGAAACCGAGCGGUGUUCUUCGUGUUCUUCAUAUUCAAACGAGGAUUUGAAGAUGUUAUUGGAAUCCGAUGGAGGCGUAUGAAUAGUCAAAACGAAGAUAUCGAUGCGUAGAAUCAAGUUUAAUCAUCUGUUUGUGUGCAGAUUCAACAGGUGAAUUGUUAUUAAUUUUACAAAUUUCGAAAUAUUAUGAGUUAAAUAGUGAAUUUUUGAAAACGUGUUUGUUUGAUUGUUUGGAUGAUUCCACGUUGUAGAGCAUGUUUUUCUCGUCGUUUUGGUAUAUUAUAUGUCAAAAACGGAGUUCGAUAACAUAUAGAAAAUGAGGUUUAAUCUUCAAAAGUCAUGUUCUUGGUGUUCUUGAGUAUUGGCCGGAAAAUUUUGAAUUCUUGCCGGAGAAUCACUUCGGCUUAACCUGGGUAGAUGUUAAAGCUAUAAAAAUGCUCCUGGAGAUGAGUAGAAUAUGUGUAUAUGAUCAUUUGUGGUGUUGGAGCCGUAAUGGAGGUGCCGGAAUCUGGAAAACGGACGUCGCCGGCGUCCGUUCUUCGGAUUUUUCCGGCUGAUUCGAGAGCUUCCAGCAUGAUUUAAGAGUGUAAUCAUGUUUUUGAGUGGUUGAAGGACAGAUCUGGAGUUUUUGGGGAUGUGGGGUGGCCGGGAACGCUAGUUCCGGCGAGAGCAGGGGUGGCCGGCGGCAAAUUGCCGUUUGGCCACCCAACUUACGAAAAUGGUGAAGUUUUGAUACUGGGGUUUCAAUUCUGACGAAUUGACCCCUGUAACUUUGAAAAGUUACACUUUACACCCUUGCCAGAAACUUUCAAAAACUUACAAAAUAAACCUUUUGAUUUAAUUUUUAAAAAUUGUUUUAUUUAAUUAUUUUAAAUUCCAAAAAUAGUUUUUAAUUAUUUCUUUAUUUAAAAAUAAAUCUAAAUUGAUUUAUUAAUUAAUUUUAAUUAGUAAUUAAUUAUUUUAAUUAGUCAAUUAAUUUAAAUAUUAAUUGAUUAAUUAUUUUAAUUAAUUAUUAAUUGAUUUUAAUUGAUUAAUUAAUUGGAUUUAAUUAAUCCUUUUUGAUUUAAAAAUUCCGAAAAAUAGUUUCGAGCUUUGAAAUAUUUUUCUAAAUUAUGUUCAAGGCUCGACAAUUGUUUAUGAAUAAUUUCAAGUCCAGUUUUGAGCAUCCGGACUUGAUUAUUUAUUUGAAAAAUGAUUCUUUUAUCCGUUUUAAUUCCGAAAAAAUGUUUAAAAAUUCCAGAAAAUUCCCGAAAAAUCAUUUUUAACCCAAGAGUUGAUUUGAUAUCAAUCGGGGUGGGAAACCUUAUGUGUAAUGUGUUGUCUGCUAUUGGUUGGAUGUGUUAUGUGCCGAUAGGAGAGUGAGAAAACUGUUUUGAGCAUAACUUUUGAUCCGUAAGUCGGAAUCAAGUGAAACGAAAGAGAGACAGAAGCUUAUAAAGUCUAGUUUGAUAUAACAUAAUAAUAUGAUGGAGUCGAGAAUGUGAAUAAUUGUUGUUAAAUGUGCACAAUGUGAUUAUAUGUUAAUUGAUUGCUAUUAAUUGAUGAUUACGUGAUAUACAUGUUUAUUCAUGAUAGUAUACAUGUGUGAUAAAAGAUUUGGAUGACAUAGUGUCGUGAGUUGAUUGAUAUUGGAUAAGAAGAUAUGGAUUAUAAUGAUUGGAUUUGGUUGGUUGAUUGUUGAUUGAGAUAGGAUAACAGGUGGAUAGUCUAAUAAAUAGACGAGAUGAUGUCGGAUUUUCGAUAGGAUUCAUAUGAUAAGUGAUUGGUAAUAUGUUAUGUGGAAUAUGACUUGACUAUAUGGUAGAGUCAAAGCAUGAUUACGUGUUAAGUGAUAUGUGAUAAGUUUAAAGGGGUAUAUAAGUGGGUAUCGAUAUACGUGAUAUGUAUAUGCGAUAUAUUGUUUAGUGACUAUAGUAUUAUCUUAUUCUCGUAAAGGAUUUGGACGAGACGUGUACGCUCGAAGACGUCAGAAAGUCGGAAUGGUAUUGCAAAGCGAAUAAGGGAUGAAUCGAGUAAGCGAAGCGAUGUGGCGAAUAGAGUAUAGCUAGAGAUGGUCUAGAGAUUACGAGAUGCAUAGAUUGUGAAAGUUGAAAGAUGAGAUUGAGCUGUGAGACUGGAGUCAGAUUUAAGGCAAGUAUCCUAAACCUUUCUCUUGGAUAUAUUGCAAAUAUUCUGAUCCAUUCCUUUGGUAUAUGUUUCAAGUAUUCAUACCUUUCUUUUCAAUGUUCGAAAGUGCGAGUAUUCUGACCCAUUCUUUCUAAUCUUCAAGUUUCUAAAGAAUUUCCGUUUUACAAAUUAAUUCGAAGUUCAGAUUGUCAUUGAAGCAUGUGUUGCUCAGUGAUAGUUAGAGCUUUGAAUGAAUUGGGAUCUUCUUGAUUAUUCAACCCGCCAUUGUCAUGCUGGUUUAGCAGGCUAAAUUCAGUUGCUUAGCCGAUAAUGGAGGAUACUGAAUAGUUGAGGAUUUCCUGAACUGUGAUUUAUGAAAUGAUGGAUCAUGAUUUAUGAAUAGAUUAUUAUCAAAGUUUGAAUUGGAAUUAUUCUGUUGUUGAUGAUAUUUAUGAUGAUGUUCUGUUAAUUUACAUUGGCUUCUUGAAUUGAAUUAGAGAAUUGGAUUAUUGUUUUUAUAUAAACCUGUGGACCAGAUUCGUGGUCAUGUUAGGCCAAUGAGUGCCUUGGAUCCAGUGAUAGAGCAUGGCGGGGCCUGCUCGGGGUUAGUGCGGAACUGAUCAGCUGCCUAACCUUGGUUUUAAUUAAAAUGUGAUAGUCCAAUUCAAUAAUUCUUUGGAAAGAUUGAAUUUCUCAGUUUAAAUGCUGCAAGGUAUUGUAAAUCAUUCUAUACAAUACCAUGAACUCAUGAACUCAGGUUGAAUCCUCUUAUAUCUUGAACUCGUGAACUUCUGUUAUAUCAUUUCAGAACUAUCAUUGUUUAUUAUUACUUGCUGAGCAUUGUUGCUCACCCUUGCUAUUCCUUUCUAACCAUUUCAGAAAGGCUUAAAGAUGAGAUGAUUGAUUGAGAUUGUGAGUAAGGCUAAUGCUAGGCGAGGAGACAGAGUUGAGGAUCCAGUGGUCGAGGAGUGUUCAGGAAAGUUGAUGAGGUUGGUGCAAGCUGGAAUAGUUG
rnacentral:lncRNA from 1 species